GUAGCACGAGGCCCACGCGGGCGCUGUUACAGCUGCCUCUUUCACUUGAUUUAUAUUCAGUUUAUGUUUGACUGAAGGGCUUUCCAUAGUUGCACAGCUUUUGUGCUACAUUUGUUUUGGUUGCGUUUGCUUAGCCCCUACUUUUCCGGUCUCCCGCUUCAUAAUUUAAUUGAGGUUCACUCUGCCAUUCUAGCCUCUUUUUUGUUUCAAGUUGAAGUUGUUUACGGUUGUUGUUUGCAAUAUUGUAAGUAAAGGAAUAUGCUAACCUCAAAAAUAUGCCAUUCCAACCUCUUUUUUGCUUCAAGCCUGUUGGUUUUUGUUGUUUGCAAUAAAUAGGCAUUAGCAUGACCCUUGAAUUAAUUGUGUAAGAUUGAUUAGUUUUAUUUUUUAUUUUAUGUAUAUAUAUCUUUUUUGCUUAUUUUAAUUAUGGGUGAAUGUGGACUAUUGACACUUUUGAUUUGUUGGGGACAAACAUGCCUAACUAUAAUUGGUGGGUGGUGUUGAUCUGGAGUUUUGGUGCAAUGAGGAGCCAAAGAUUAGCUCAUUCAACGGUGAUUUUGAUAUGCCCCAUAAACAGUUGGCUUUUUUUUAGUUAUAGGCAAAAGCACAAGAGGGUGAACAUUAGAGCAGUGAAGCAUUGGUGCAGAUAGAUCUUGCUAGAAGAGAGUCGUCUGUCAGAACUUGGGAUUAUUGUGAUAGAUGAACUGCACCUGCUAGCUGCCUUUGAUGUUGUCUUUUUAAUUUUUAGUGAUGUUCAUCAAUUACUUCUUGUUUCUUUUUUUAAAAUUGUUUUAAUGCUUUUCUAAUCGUAGUAGAUUAUAAAGAUGGUUCUCAUCACUGGGGUUUGUUGACAGGUGGGUGAUCAGAAUAGGGGUUAUCUAUUGGAGCUUAUGUUGACAAAGCUUCGUUGUGCAGCUGGUGAAGGCAAUAUACAAUCAUCUAGUGGAGAAAGUUCAGGACCAAGCAGUGGGAAGACUGAUCCUUCUCGUGGUCUUCAAAUUUUUGGUAUGACUGCAACCUUGCCAAGUGUGGCUGCUGUUGCCGAUUGGCUUCGAAUAUUUCUGAAGUAGAAGUUUGCUUCUUGUGGAUUUCAUGCCUGUGAAGAAUGCCACUAAUUUUUGUUUUUGUACCACGGAGAAUGCUGAGGAAAACUUUUAAUUUUGAUUUGUGUUAUUUUGAAUUAUGAAUAACAUUAUGUAUUUAAACAUUAUAUAUGUAUUAUGGAACAUUAUGUAC